AUUUAUGAAUAGAAGAGAGAAUGCAAAAACCACAUUUGCAGAUUUGUCCUGAAGUGAAGUGUCAAAUUCAAUGUGUGUUGAACUGUCUUUUUCAGGAGCAUGAACAAGGUAAAGCAACCAGCAGAAGAAACUUUAGCCUUUCUGAUGCUGGGUAUGAAAAAGAAGAAUCUUUCGCUACAGGCUUUUUGUUACCUUGUUCUCACUGAAUGAGGAGGGCUUUGGAGAUUGUAAUAAUCUUUAUCCAGCUUCUUGACAUUCCUGGAAAAAGUGUCUUUCUUCUGUUGCUCUGCAGGCAGGAUCUCAACUGAAACAGUAGAAUUGCACUUCAUCCACCCGCACAAUGGUUCAGACUAGCAUCUGAGAAUCUGAAGCUGCAGCUGAACAAGACUCAUAAGUACUUAUAAAAAUAGUCUCAGUGUUAACAGUGAAAAAUUGCAGUAGCAAUUACAGCAUGCUUACUGAUAACAAUGCAGUUGCUCUAGCAAUUUUUAAGUUACCACAAACUUUAUCAACUCCAUGCUUUGGGUUUGUUUUUUUUUUGUAAGAAGUUUUUAUAAAUUUAGAAAAAAAAGAAGUGGUGACCCUCUUUAUGGAGUUAGUAACCUAAAUGUGCCUUUGGUACUUAUCUGAGGAUUUCAGCAGUGAAAAGAACAAAUGAAUGUUGUGCAACAAUAGGGGUGUGCAAAGACAGGAGAAUACUGGAAGCAACUUUUAUUUUGAGAAUAUCUUUAGCUGAAGAAAGGCUUGUUCUUUUAAUGAGGAAUGGCAGAUACUUGAAAUGGAAAUUAGAAGGCUGAUACUCUUAAAGUGGAGUGGAAUUCCCAUUACCUGAGUGAACACUUCUGUAUCUUCUCCUGUAACGGGGUGUAGUUAAAUAGAAUUGGAAGAAUAGAAUAGAAUUGGCUAGAUAAUAAAAAGUUCCUGUGUGCUACUGAUUGGUACCAAUGUACUUUGUACUUCUGAAUAGCUCUCUUAGUGACUUAAAAACCCAGGAAAAAUGAAGAGGAAAUUAACUUAGGUAAUUUUCUUGAAUUUUAGGUACCCUUGUGGGUAUGAGCUGACAGAUGCAAUCAGAUUGUCUCUGGAACAAAUAAGUGGCAAAUUUAUGAACAGUAUCUGUCAACAUCCUGUAUGAACAAUGAUUAAUAACUGACAGAUAUAGUAUGUGUGUGAACUGUUUGUUGUUUUAUAAUAGAUUUUUCUGUAAUACUUCUGUCUUAAAUAAAAUGUACUGUUAUUUCUGAAAGCUGUUUGGCCACUGGUUAAAUUCCCUCAUUUUUCCUGAGAUAAAGGGGAAGUCCCGGUGUUAAACUGAAUUCACACUUGCUGAAAUAAUCACAAUAAAUUAUGAGAGCAUUAUACCUUGAAAAUGCUGCUCUGAAGAGCAGCUCUCAAGUUACUGCCCCAAGAAAAAUGAGGACUGGAGGCCUAAGACCUACAGGCAUUCUCCAGAGAAGGUCACGGUCUGUCAGAGAUGCAGUUAACCCUGUUCGGCUAACAGGUACAAAAAGUAAUCCUUAUUUCUAUUGCUCCUGAAGAUAAUAAUUUUAUGUUCCAUACAGUACCUCCUUUAAAACAAAAGUGAUUGACAUUAAUGAUAUUUUUAGUGUCUAAUACUUCAUUAAUGAAUUUAGACAGAAUUAUUUUUGUCAAAAAUUAAUAUAUACUUUAGUCUGUCAUUUAUGGAUCACCCUUCUAAUGUGCCAGAAUUUAACAAAUGUUAUGCUGUAUUCUGAAUUUCCCCCCCAGAAUAUAUUUAAAAUUAGCUUCUCAUCUAUUCCUUUACUAUACUCAGUGCACCUGAGUGUCCAUAUCUAGUAACCUGAACAACUUCAAUUUAAGAGAGACUUGUUUUACAACUCUUUUAUAGAUGGCAUAGGCAACAUUCUCAGUUCUUAAUGUGUCCUCUUCCUUUAGUUCAAACUCAGCAUAAAAAAUGAUAUAUUUUACCCUAUUAAUAUGAAUAUCUGGUUCUUGGUUUGCUAUUUUAAAAUAUGUUUUCUUUCAGUUCUUUUUAGCUUCUUAAGUUAUUGAUAGAUCAGUGCCUUCUUCAUUCUUCUUUGUCAGCCAUGUAUAUUUUUUCCAAAACUCUAAUCUUUUUGCACUUGCCAUGCAUUUGUACAUCUGUAAGAGUUGACAAGUUUUAGUCUGUACAGUUAAAGCACUUCUGUUUGUCACAUUUUCUGAAGUACUUAAAACCCACUAUACUAGUACUGAAACUUUGGAAAGUUGUUUUUCUUCAUCAUUUGCAUGGGAAAUGUGUACAAGGAUCUCAAAAUAAAAACUG